UACGUAGGGUGCGAGCGUUGUCCGGAAUUAUUGGGCGUAAAGAGCUCGUAGGCGGUGUGUCACGUCGGCCGUGAAAACCUGCAGCUUAACUGUGGGCGUGCGGUCGAUACGGGCAUCACUGGAGUUCGGCAGGAGAGACUGGAAUUCCUGGUGUAGCGGUGGAAUGCGCAGAUAUCAGGAGGAACACCGGUGGCGAAGGCGGGUCUCUGGGCAGUAACUGACGCUGAGGAGCGAAAGCGUGGGGAGCGAACAGG
rnacentral:rRNA from 1 species